rnacentral:tRNA from 1 species
UCCUGGUCACUCAGAUGGUAAAGAACCUGCUUGUGAUGCAGGAGACCCAGGUUCGAUCCCUGAGUCAGGAA